UAUAUACUCUCUUUGUUCCGAAAUACUUGUCAUCAAAAUAAAGAAAAGAGAAUGUAUCUACAAGUAUUUUAGUUCUAGAUACAUAUUUUUUUAUCUAUUUUAAUGAUUAAGUAUUUUCAGACGGAGAAAGUACUAA
rnacentral:pre_miRNA from 1 species